UACGGAGGGUGCGAGCGUUGUCCGGAAUCAUUGGGCGUAAAGGGCGCGUAGGUGGCCCGGUCAGUUCGUGGUGAAAGCGCGGGGCUCAACCCUGCGUCGGCCAUGAAUACUGCCGCGGCUGGAGCACUGUAGAGGCAGGCGGAAUUCCGGGUGUAGCGGUGGAAUGCGUAGAGAUCCGGAAGAACACCGGUGGCGAAGGCGGGUUGCUGGGCUGACACUGACGCUGAUGCGCGAAAGCCAGGGGAGCGAACGGG
rnacentral:rRNA from 1 species